CCUACGGGAGGCAGCAGUGAGGAAUAUUGGUCAAUGGUCGGGAGACUGAACCAGCCAAGCCGCGUGAGGGAUGAAGGUACAGAGUAUCGUAAACCUCUUUUGUCAGGGAACAAAGGCGGGGACGCGUCCCCGGAUGAGUGUACCUGAAGAAAAAGCAUCGGCUAAGUCCGUGCCAGCAGCCGCGGUAAUCCGGAGGAUGCGAGCGUUAUCCGGAUUUAUUGGGGUUAAAGGGUGCGCAGGCGGUCUGUUAAGUCAGCGGUCAAAGCCCGGGGCUCAACCCCGGCCCGCCGUUGAAACUGGCAGUCGCGAGUUGGAGAGAAGUAUGCGGAAUGCGCGGUGUAGCGGUGAAAUGCAUAGAUAUCGCGCAGAACUCCGAGUGCGAAGGCAGCAUGCCGGCUCCACACUGACGCUGAGGCACGAAAGCGUGGGUAUCGAACAGGAUUAGAUACCCCAGUAGUC
rnacentral:rRNA from 1 species